rnacentral:rRNA from 1 species
UGCAGUCGACGAAUCCCAGGGGGGUAACUCCCUGGGGGAAGUGGCGAAAGGGGCAGUAAGGCGUGGGUAACUUGCCCCGGGGACUGGGAUAGCCACCCUAACGGGUGGGUAAUACCGGGCGACGUAGCGGUGGGGCAUCCUGCUGCUACCAAAUGAGAUUCGCCCCGGGAGAGGCUCACGUGGUAUUAGCUUGAUGGUGGGGUAACGGCCUACCAUGGCCAAGAUGCCUAGCAGGUGUGAGAGCACGACCUGCGCCACUGGCACUGUGACACUGGCCAGACUCCUACGGGAGGCUGCAGUCGAGGAUCUUCGGCAAUGGGCGCAAGCCUGACCGAGCGACGCCGCGUGCGCGAUGAAGGCCUUCGGGUUGUAAAGCGCUGUCGGGGGGGAGAAAAGCCCGCAAGGGCCUGAUCGACCUCCGGAGGAAGCACGGGCUAAGUUCGUGCCAGCAGCCGCGGUAAGACGAACCGUGCGAACGUUGUUCGGAAUCACUGGGCUUAAAGGGCGCGUAGGCGGGCAGCCAAGUCAGGGGUGAAAGCGUUCGGCUCAACCGGACAAGGGCCUUUGAUACUGGCGGCCUCGAGGGAGGUAGGGGCGCGUGGAACUUCCGGUGGAGCGGUGAAAUGCGUAGAUAUCGGAAGGAACGCCGGUGGCGAAAGCGGCGCGCUGGACCUCUUCUGACGCUGAGGCGCGAAAGCCAGGGGAGCAAACGGGAUUAGAUACCCCGGUAGUCCUGGCCCUAAACGAUGGGUACCAGGUAGUGGGCUUGACAUGGGCUCACUGCCGGACAAAAGUGUUCAGUACCCCGCCUGGGG